UCCUACAGUGAAUUGGAACAGGAGGGGCCCCAGAAGCUGAUCCAUAAAGUGUCCACCUCUGAACAGAUGGGGACCAAGGAAUCAGAGAGGAUGCCUGGGCCUGCAGCCAGCACCACCCUCAGGGCUUCACAGGAGGAGCUGUCCCUGGGGCCAGUGUGGUUUGCCCCACUACUGCAGAACCUGGAGAGGAUUCAUCCAACAGUGAAUUGGAACAGGAGGGGCCCCAGAAGCUCAUCCAUAAAGUGUCCACCUCUGAACAGAUGGGGACCAAGGAACUUCCAUGUUGUUUUGCCUGUGGCUCCACCAAUUUACAUUCUUGCCUGGAGUGCACACAGCUAUCCUUUGUGAGGCAGUGGACUGUGUCACCAGAGGACCAUGACAACCGGUGACAUUGCAUAGAGUUUUCUAUUGUGAUGGGGUAUCUAACUAGGCUCUAAGUGAUUAGCCAAUGAGCUUCCCUCCAAUUCUGUGAAAGAUAUUCAAUCUCUGGUUCACCCAGAGUAAGACUUGUGCAUUUUCAUCUACCCUGAAUAAAACAGUUUAGACAAGCAA